rnacentral:rRNA from 1 species
UACGUAGGGUGCAAGCGUUAAUCGGAAUUACUGGGCGUAAAGCGUGCGCAGGCGGUUAUAUAAGAGAGUUGUGAAAUCCCCGGGCUCAACCUGGGAACUGCAUCUGUGACUGUAUAGCUAGAGUACGGUAGAGGGGGAUGGAAUUCCGCGUGUAGCAGUGAAAUGCGUAGAUAUGCGGAGGAACACCGAUGGCGAAGGCAAUCCCCUGGACCUGUACUGACGCUCAUGCACGAAAGCGUGGGGAGCAAACAGG